rnacentral:rRNA from 1 species
GAUGAACGCUGGCGUCGUGCCUAAUACAUGCAAGUCGAGCGAACGGACGAGAAGCUUGCUUCUCUGAUGUUAGCGGCGGACGGGUGAGUAACACGUGGAUAACCUACCUAUAAGACUGGGAUAACUUCGGGAAACCGGAGCUAAUACCGGAUGAUAUUUUGAACCGCAUGGUUCAAAAGUGAAAGACGGUCUUGCUGUCCCUUAUAGAUGGAUCCGCGCUGCAUUAGCUAGUUGGUAAGGUAACGGCUUACCAAGGCAACGAUGCAUAGCCGGCCUGAGAGGGUGAUCGGCCACACUGGAACUGAGACACGGUCCAGACUCCUACGUGAGGCAGCAGUAGGGAAUCUUCCGCAAUGGGCGAAAACCUGACGGAGCAACGCCGCGUGAGUGAUGAAGGUCUUCGGAUCGUAAAACUCUGUUAUUAGGGAGGAACAUAUGUGUAAGUAACUGUGCACAUCUUGACGGUACCUAAUCAGAAAGCCACGGCUAACUACGUG